CUGGGGGAGGACUCAAAAGCAGACCAGAUGUCCAGUGAAAAAACGUGGAUAUUUAUUUCCAGACACAGGGUACAGGAUAAGCAACAGUCUCGUAGUCAGAAUACAGGCGCAGGUCAAAAAUCCAGAAAUCCAAACACAAACAGGCAAAGGCACAGAAUCAGGAGCAGAGACCAGGUCGAUGGAAACAGGCGGAAGUCAAAAAUCCAGAAAUCCAAACACAAACAGGCAAAGGCACAGAAUCAGGAGCAGAGACCAGGUCGAUGGAAACAGGCGGAAGUCAAUAAUCAGAAGCUAGAAUAACAAAGUCGGCAGGCUAGAAACGUAGUCGAAAAACAAGCAAAGUUCAAAAACCGGGAAUACACAAA